rnacentral:rRNA from 1 species
UACAGAGGUCCCGAGCGUUGUUCGGAUUCACUGGGCGUAAAGGGUGCGUAGGUGGUGAGGUAAGUCUGAUGUGAAAUCCCGCAGCUCAACUGCGGAACGGCAUCGGAUACUAUCUUGCUAGAGGGUUUGAGGGGGGACUGGAAUUCUCGGUGUAGCAGUGAAAUGCGUAGAUAUCGAGAGGAACACCAGUGGCGAAGGCGAGUCCCUGGAAAACUCCUGACACUGAGGCACGAAAGCUAGGGGAGCAAACAGG